rnacentral:rRNA from 2 species
AUGGUUAAGUUAGAAAGGGCGCACGGUGAAUGCCUUGGCGCUAGGAGCCGAUGAAGGACGGGACUAACACCGAUAUGCUUCGGGGAGCUGUAAGUGAGCUUUGAUCCGGAGAUUUCCGAAUGGGGAAACCCACUGUUCGUAAUGGAACAGUAUCUUUAUCUGAAUACAUAGGAUAUUGAAGGCAGACCCGGGGAACUGAAACAUCUAAGUACCCGGAGGAAGAGAAAGCAAAUGCGAUUUCCUGAGUAGCGGCGAGCGAAACGGAAUUAGCCCAAACCAAGAGGCUUGCCUCUUGGGGUUGUAGGACACUCUAUACGGAGUUACAAAGGAACGAAGUAAAUGAAGCGACCUGGAAAGGUCCGUCGAAGAAGGUAACAACCCUGUAGUUGAAACUUCGUUCCUCUUGAGUGGAUCCUGAGUACGGCGGAACACGUGAAAUUCCGUCGGAAGCUGGGAGGACCAUCUCCCAAGGCUAAAUACUACCUAGUGACCGAUAGUGAACCAGUACCGUGAGGGAAAGGUGAAAAGCACCCCGGAAGGGGAGUGAAAGAGAUCCUGAAACCGUGUGCCUACAAGUAGUCAGAGCCCGUUAACGGGUGAUGGCGUGCCUUUUGUAGAAUGAACCGGCGAGUUACGAUCCCAUGCAAGGUUAAGCUGAUAAGGCGGAGCCGUAGCGAAAGCGAGUCUGAAUAGGGCGUUUAGUAUGUGGUUGUAGACCCGAAACCAGGUGAUCUACCCAUGUCCAGGGUGAAGUUCAGGUAACACUGAAUGGAGGCCCGAACCCACGCACGUUGAAAAGUGCGGGGAUGAGGUGUGGGUAGCGGAGAAAUUCCAAUCGAACCUGGAGAUAGCUGGUUCUCUCCGAAAUAGCUUUAGGGCUAGCCUCAUGUUGUGAGAGUCUUGGAGGUAGAGCACUGAUUGGACUAGGGGCCCCCAACGGGUUACCGAAUUCAGUCAAACUCCGAAUGCCAAAGACUUAUCCAUGGGAGUCAGACUGCGAGUGAUAAGAUCCGUAGUCAAAAGGGAAACAGCCCAGACCACCAGCUAAGGUCCCCAAGUAUACGUUAAGUGGAAAAGGAUGUGGAGUUGCUUAGACAACCAGGAUGUUGGCUUAGAAGCAGCCACCAUUUAAAGAGUGCGUAAUAGCUCACUGGUCGAGUGACUCUGCGCCGAAAAUGUACCGGGGCUAAACGUAUCACCGAAGCUGUGGAUUGACAUCUUAGAUGUCAGUGGUAGGAGAGCGUUCUAAGUGCUGUGAAGUCAGACCGUAAGGACUGGUGGAGCGCUUAGAAGUGAGAAUGCCGGUAUGAGUAGCGAAAGACAAGUGAGAAUCUUGUCCACCGAAUGCCUAAGGUUUCCUGAGGAAGGCUCGUCCGCUCAGGGUUAGUCGGGACCUAAGCCGAGGCUGAAAAGCGUAGGCGAUGGCCAACAGGUUGAUAUUCCUGUACCACCUCCCCGCCGUUUGAGUAAUGGGGGGACGCAGUAGGAUAGGGUAAGCGCGCUGCUGGAUAUGCGCGUUCAAGCAGUUAGGCUGAUGAGUAGGCAAAUCCGCUCAUCAUAAAGGCUGAGCUGUGAUGACGAGGGAAUUAUAGUACCGAAGUUCCUGAUUCCACACUGCCAAGAAAAGCCUCUAGCGAGGCGGGAGGUGCCCGUACCGCAAACCGACACAGGUAGGCGAGGAGAGAAUCCUAAGGUGAUCGAGAGAACUCUCGUUAAGGAACUCGGCAAAAUGACCCCGUAACUUCGGGAGAAGGGGUGCUCUGGUAGGGUGUAUAGCCCGAGAGAGCCGCAGUGAAUAGGCCCAGGCGACUGUUUAGCAAAAACACAGGUCUCUGCGAAGCCGCAAGGCGAAGUAUAGGGGCUGACGCCUGCCCGGUGCUGGAAGGUUAAGAGGAGGGGUUAUCCUUUGGGAGAAGCUCUGAAUCGAAGCCCCAGUAAACGGCGGCCGUAACUAUAACGGUCCUAAGGUAGCGAAAUUCCUUGUCGGGUAAGUUCCGACCCGCACGAAAGGCGUAACGAUCUGGGCACUGUCUCAACGAGAGACUCGGUGAAAUUAUAGUACCUGUGAAGAUGCAGGUUACCCGCGACAGGACGGAAAGACCCCGUGGAGCUUUACUGUAGCCUGAUAUUGAAUUUUGGUACAGCUUGUACAGGAUAGGUAGGAGCCUGAGAAACCGGAGCGCUAGCUUCGGUGGAGGCGUCGGUGGGAUACUACCCUGGCUGUAUUGAAAUUCUAACCCGCGGCCCUUAUCGGGCCGGGAGACAGUGUCAGGUGGGCAGUUUGACUGGGGCGGUCGCCUCCUAAAAUGUAACGGAGGCGCCCAAAGGUUCCCUCAGAAUGGUUGGAAAUCAUUCGUAGAGUGUAAAGGCACAAGGGAGCUUGACUGCGAGACCUACAAGUCGAGCAGGGACGAAAGUCGGGCUUAGUGAUCCGGUGGUUCCGCAUGGAAGGGCCAUCGCUCAACGGAUAAAAGCUACCCCGGGGAUAACAGGCUUAUCUCCCCCAAGAGUCCACAUCGACGGGGAGGUUUGGCACCUCGAUGUCGGCUCAUCGCAUCCUGGGGCUGUAGUCGGUCCCAAGGGUUGGGCUGUUCGCCCAUUAAAGCGGUACGCGAGCUGGGUUCAGAACGUCGUGAGACAGUUCGGUCCCUAUCCGUCGUGGGCGUAGGAAAUUUGAGAGGAGCUGUCCUUAGUACGAGAGGACCGGGAUGGACACACCGCUGGUGUACCAGUUGUCUUGCCAAAGGCAUCGCUGGGUAGCUAUGUGUGGACGGGAUAAGUGCUGAAAGCAUCUAAGCAUGAAGCCCCCCUCAAGAUGAGAUUUCCCAUAGCGCAAGCUAGUAAGAUCCCUGAAAGAUGAUCAGGUUGAUAGGUCAGAGGUGGAAGCGUGGCGACAUGUGUAGCUGACUGAUACUAAUCGAUCGAGGACUUAACCAAAA